CAUGUUGCACAGGCUGUUACACUCUAUUGGAGCUCCAACAGUAUAAGUAUAAGUGUAAGUGUGUGUGUGUUCAUGUUGCACAGGCUGUUACACUCUAUUGGAGCUCCAACAGUAUAAGUAUAAGUGUAAGUGUGUGUGUGUUCAUGUUGCACAGGCUGUUACACUCUAUUGGAGCUCCAACAGUAUAAGUGUGUGUCUGUAAAAUACCUCCAUAGUCAAAGAUUGUGUGGUCGACGAAGUAUCAGUACUAGCAAUCAAACCCAAAACCUCCUGGCCACUGGCACGGACGGACAGAUGGAUGGAUGGAUGGAUGGAUGGACGGACGGACGGACGGACGGACGGACGGACAGACAGACAGAUAGAUAGAUGGAUGGAUGGAUGGAUGGAUGGAUGGACGGACAGACAAGCAGACAAACCCUCUGGACCAGAGAUGCCCAUACUAGGGCUUGCAGGCCAAAGUUGGCCCAUGUGACCUUUGAUUUGAACUCAUAAUCUUCUGGCCUAUGAUCUCUGUGAAUCUUGGUGUUACAGUGUACAAUGUUCUCUUCUGGCACACAAUGUGUUCACGUGUUGCCCCAACUAGCCAUGCCAUAUUAUAAGAAGAGCAAAAAAGUAGAAAAAUGCACAUUGGAAAGAUUUCUGAAAAAUACGGACCAGCUUCAUGUCUCAGAUUAAAGGUCAUUAAAUAAUA